GGCGCGCGCCCCUCUCGGCUGCCGCCAUCUUGAGGCCUUUCCCGGCCGCCGCCUCCAUCCGCCGGCAUCCGCCUCCAUCCGCGCCUCCCGCCAAAGCCGGGGAACUGAGCGGGCGCCGCCGCACCGCCAUGAGGGCCAAGUGGCGCAAGAAGCGAAUGCGCAGGCUGAAGCGCAAGAGAAGAAAGAUGAGGCAGAGGUCCAAGUAACCGCCCCCACCGGGGACGCGGCCCGGGGCCGUCCCGGUGAUGUCCCGGUGAUGCCCCGGUGAUGUCCCGGUGCCCUCCGGUCCGGCCGUGCCGGCCCGGUUCUUCGCUUAGCGGCGCCGCGGUGCCGUGAAAUAA
rnacentral:lncRNA from 1 species